rnacentral:misc_RNA from 1 species
UGACAUUUUUAGUGGGAGAGCUUUUGUGGCUUUGAUUUUUAAGAUAACAAGCAAUCACUAUUCAAAUAAUUUACUAUUCAAACUAAAGAGGAAACAUUAUUAUUUUCCAGUCAUCAUACAUCUAGCAUCCGUGAUGAUACUCGACGGUGACUGAGAAAUCAAAAUUCAGAAUUGUAAUGGGAAAUCUGCUACAAAUCUUCGAUUCAGAUCGCAGUACCCGUAAUGACUCCAGGCAAGGGAACGUUGACUUGACCAAAUCACCAAGCAGUAGAGAUCAAGUUCAACAUGAUGCUGCCUUGGAGGUCACAGAAGCGUUCAAUUUGGAGUCGAUGGAUUUUGUUGCUAUCUUUCCUCUCGAACUGACGUAUCUGAUUUUGUCAUAUUUAUCAUCAGAUGACUUGAAGUAUUGUGACCGUGUGAGCCAGCUAUGGAGUAGGACCAUUCACAAUUUCAUACAAAGUCGUGAUCUCAUUGAACGCGUUCGACUGAAACAUAAUUGGCAACAAGGAAAAUACUCAGUUCAUUGGCUUCAUAUCCCAAUGCAGAAGCUGUUGGUCUCAUGUUGGAGAACUACACUUAUUCCUUCAAAUGACAAUGUCUUCUACUACCCUCUAGUGGGUAGAUUGGACUAUGAACAGAAUCUUUGUGGCCUUUAUUUGUUUCGGUUGGAUGCUGCCUUGAGAAUGGCUACCAAAUUGGUAUUCAUGACUAGUACCCCAUAUUUGAUAUGGAAAGUUUGUGUGUUGAGAGACUGCUUAGUUUGGAUAUAUGGAAACCAGCUAAUGUACUAUGAUGGUGAAACACACAGAACUAUUGAGCAUGAACUUCAUGACAAUUCAGAUGGUGACCUUUUCAUAAGAAUGGAUUCACACCACAUUGUAGCUUGGACUGAGUGGGGAUAUCUGAAAGUUUGGUGCAAACGCACGACUGAUCUUUUAGAAUUGGAGCGUAACGAAGCAGGCCUAUAUUAUCAUCUUUGCAGUUUUCACGAUGGAUGUCUCGUUAUCUUUACUUGUGGAGAUUUAGACAAUAUUCAUUAUGGGAAAAUUUCAAAUAUCUCCAAACUUGAAAUACACAACCUGAGAAAUGAUAAGCCAGACAGGCUUCAGUACAGGAUUUAUGUUGAUGGAAAAGCCGAUUAUCUUGCAUCAAAUGAACGCUAUAUUAUUCUAAUUAUCAUAUGCCCUAUUACAUCUUAUCGCUUAAUCCAAGUGAGGGAUAUAGAGAACCGUGCUGUCAUUAAAUACACAUAUCCAUAUUUCAUCAGAUUUGAAUUGUAUAAUAUCUGUGAUGAUUACAUUAUUUUAAGAGAGGAUUGCAGUGAAUUUGUAAUAUUGACUCUUGCCACUGGUGAACAGACCAGAAUUGUAUCAACUAGCACAAUAUUAAAAACAUUGUUUGAAAAUAUUGCUGUGAAUCUCAAGGCUGACAAAACGUUACAAGUUCUGGACUGGAGAGAUCAAAUUGAGCUGCAUAGGUUGCCAAGCCCCAAGGGAAAGGCAGAUUGGGUUGUUGAUGCCAAUGAAUACAUGGUGGUUACUUAUGAUAAAGAUGCCAAUACAUUUGUAGUUUUCAAGUAUGGUUAGGUUAAGUUAGGGUUAGAUUAGAUUAGGUUACAUUAGAUUAGGUGACAGUGUGGUGGAAAGUGAAUCUAUACCCUCAAGGCUAAUAUAAUUUAUUAGUGUUUUACCAUCCUAGUACAUUCUGCUGAUUUCCGAAGUUAUCAGUUUAUUAUUAAGAGCUACAUUUAAAACUUUAUUAGUAUUAAUAAUUUAGGUUUUAUGUACUUAAAUGUGUGUGUAUAUGUAUGUGUAUAUUAAUGUAUAUGUGUGUAUGUAUGUGUAUAUUAAUGUAUAUGUGUGUAUGUAUGUCUAUGUAUGUGUAUAUUGUGUAUGUAUGUUUAUAUUUGUGUAUGUCUAUGUAUGUAUGAUAUAUCUUCACAUUUGACGAUUUCCCAGUCACUCGAGUGAUUUCGCUAAUCGUCACUAGAGACGAUUUCGCUAGUAACCAGGAAGAAAUUAAAAAAAAAAAAAACAAAGCUCCUGAACAAAGUUCAAGUAGUAAACGCGAGUUUGUGACACAGUCAUUGUACCUGAUUUUUCAUCAUCUUCGCAAUACAUCUUUUCUUGGUUUAAAUCGAGAUCACUGAACAUCAGCUCACAAGUGGGUUUGAGAGACUUCAAUUGCAGAGCAUAGCAGCAAUCCAACUUUGUUGUUAAACUUUGGCAAAAGACUAAUGAGACUCGGAAUUAUUCCAAAUAGGGGACCCUAGGAUUUCUAGUGGAAAGCAAAUUUACCCAGAACAUUUCAUGGCUAACUAGUCCUGAUUAUUUGUUAAUUAUAAUUGUUUAUAUCCUAAUAGUAAUUAAAAAAUUUAAGCUGGCCAGACUAGCCGUGCAGUGUAGCCUAAAGUGAACGUUUUUUGUGCAUUUUCACAAACCAUGGUGUUGAACGUUUUUUGUGCAUUUUCACAAACCAUGGUGUUGAACGUUUUUUGUGCAUUUUCACAAAACAUGGUGUAUGGACCCUACUUUUUUGUAUAUGUCGUCCGAGCCUUGAAAUAGGGGCACAUAGAACAAACACUUAAUUGAAACUUGAGUGAAUUGGUAUGUGUACAGAGUUUUUAAAAAAAUAUAUAACUAGCUUACCCGGCGUACUUCGUACAGCCAAAAAGUCAAUGUACCUAUCUCUUGUCACACUUGACUUUAUUUGGUGAAUCAUGACAUUCAACUGACAAUCAAUAUUUUUAUUUAGAUCUCAAUACGAACUUCCAUAGCCUACUAUAGAUAUCUGAAGUAAGCCAUGGAACUUCCUAUGUGCUAAAACUACCGUUUUAAUACCAGUAAACAAUUUUAUCACAGUGUGACGUGUUUAUUAUAGCUAAGUUCAUAUAGGGGAGCUCUAUUAAAAUUUCUGGUCAGAAACCAUCCUCAAUAUUUACACAACAUAUUCCUAAAGUUUCAUGCUGUUCUGUCAAGUAGUUUUCGAGUCUUUAGGGAACAAACAAACUAAUACCCAAACAGACAUUCAUUUUUAUAUAUAAAUAUUGUUUUAAAUUGGGGUAUUCAUUUUGAAUCACUCUGCAAAGGGUAAAUCAUUAAAGUUGGCUAUUUCAACAACGAGAUUAGGAAAUUUAUAAACAAAAUAUUAGGUACUUAUUUAAAAAAAUGGUGAUGUGAAAAACAUUACUGUACAAGAGCUCCAUUGAGACAUUUUCUUUUAUUUGUGCUGAGGAUGCUGCCCACAGCAGCUCGAGGCUGAUAUAUUUGCAAACAUAAUUUAAUAAUAAUUAAUCCAAUGUUUAUGUAUAUAAAUUUUUAUUCUUGUUUUUUACUAAAUGGGACCUGUGUCUCUAAUGAUUGUUGCUUGUUUGGACAGGAAAGUAAGUAAGCUUGAGGCUUUUUAGAGUGUGUUGAAACUUGUUAAAGAUGAGUGGUGAUUAUACUCAAAUUAGGGUUACUACUAAGUUCAGUGUAAUAGUUAUAUUAAAUUAAUUUUUAUGGGUAGUUUGUACGUAUUCGGCUUGCUUUUUUCUAGCCAGGACAUAAUCUUGAAAUGAAAAUAAUUGUGAUGGUUUGUUGCACUUCUCACAAGAUUUUUCUCUAAAAUGUUAAAUGUUCUCAAGUAGAUUUAAUAAGUUAUGUUUUCUGUAAGUCUGAUAAUUAUGUGAUAAAUAUUUAUAGUCUGAUAAGAUUCUGUACCAAUACCGGUAAUACUGAGACUGAUUUUUGAAUAUUCGAACUAUACUGUAUUGAUUCUGUAGGCCUACUAUUAGAAAAUAUAGAGAAUACUGGGACUGAUUUUUGAAUAUUUGAAUGACACUAAAAAACUUAUUGACUAUCUUAGCUUCUAUAAUGACUGUUUUGACUAUAUAAAUGGAUAUUUUUCCAAGUAUUGUUUAUAAAGUAAUUUAUAUUAAAUAUUUUUCCAAGUUUGACUAUAUAAAUGGAUAUUUUCCCAAGUAUAUUGUUUAUAAAGUAAUAUAUUAAAUAUUUUUCCAAGUUUGACUAUAUAAAUGGAUAUUUUUCCAAGUAUAUUGUUUAUAAAGUAAUAUAUUGAAUAUUUUUCCAAGUUUGACUAUAUAAAUGGAUAUUUUUCCAAGUAUUAUAUUAUGUAGGCUACUUAAUAAAGAUAGGCGCACACAGAUCGGACGAACGGCACGCAUCGGUCGAUUAGAUUUGAUGCAUUGUUUUUAAUUGGAGUGCACAUACCUAUAUGAUGCGGAUAGAUAUUGUGACAACACACUUCCUAAGCAGGCUGGCAUAGCUCAAAUUGAUAGUAGCGAGCAGCAAUAUCGAUAAGAUAAGAUGCCAGCCAGCUAUUAUUCCGAUUCAUGCGCAGCUUUAAUAUAAUAAAGAUUUCACUUCAAUACUGUGAUAUUAUAAAUGUAAUAAUGUUUUCUGUCAAGUUAUAUUUUUAAUUAUUUUAUGUCCUCUCUCGGAAAGGUGUUCUCCGAAUUAUCCCUCUACCUCUAUGUUUAUUUAGUUUUCUUACAUGGAGAGUUUCGUUUCUCUCUUUUGCAAUUGAGUGUGCUUACCCCCAACCACCAUAUCUUUGGGGAAGUAUUGGCCUACGGCCUUAUCUGUUAUUGUAACGGGACUCUCCCCCGGCAACUUGGAAGGAGCUUGGCUGUUUUUCGUUCACUCUUCUCCUAGACUUCUCCGAACUCGCUGGCAAUCGGUUGGAGUGUGCGGUUGAUUGAAAUGAAUAAAUGGUUUAGUGCGUAUGCGUGUGGAAGGCUGAUGGACAAAAGCUUAAAAAAACCGGUGAUGAUGCUUGACGGUGACUGAGAAAUCAAAAUUCAGAAUUGUAAUGGGGAGGGAAUCUGCUACAAAUCUUCGAUUCAGAUCGCAGUAAUGACUCCAGGCAAGGAAACGUUGACUUGACCAAAUCACCAAGCAGUAGAGAUCAAGUUCAACAUGAUGCUGCCUUGGAGGUCACAGAAGCGUUCAAUUUGGAGUCGAUGGAUUUUGUUGCUAUCUUUCCUCUCGAACUGACGUAUCUGAUUUUGUCAUAUUUAUCAUCAGAUGACUUGAAGUAUUGUGACCGUGUGAGCCAGCUAUGGAGUAGGACCAUUCACAAUUUC